GACACAGAGAACAGACCUAAAAAGAUCACAGGGUCACAUCUUCAUCACAGCAGCAUCAAAGACGAAGGAUAAAUGGGAAUAUUCAGAGAGGAAGAGCCGAACAGACACACUUAGAUGGCGGUCUUUCUCCACCAGGUAAAGGGGAUUUUUGGCCCAAUCAAGACCAAGUGGACCAUACCACCCAUGACAGCCCAAACUGGAAGGGGGUCUUUUUGUGUCUGAGUUCCAGAGAGCCACAAUGGAGGGGUAAACGAGCAGCAUGUAUCUCCAAAGCAGCAGGUUGCAGACCACCUGCAGCAAACAACCAGAAGACCUAAGGCAGCACUUGGAAUGGUCUCCCCUGCAGUGCCUUCUUACACCUGAGGUUCACAUCUCUCUUGUGCAUUUUUCUUUUAUUAUGUAGCUUUGGGGUUAUUUGUACUUUAUUUUUAUCUGUGGAUACCUAGACACUGUACACUCAUUGAGUGCGCAUUAUAUCCUCUGCAUACCAAAUAUAGAAUUGGUCCAACUUUAGGUUUUCUCUUCUUGCUUACAGUUUUUGUAGGCUUGUUUACAAAAUGCUUAGUUUGUAAAAAUAUAACAGAAAACACAGACAUUUGGUUUUUCAAAAGACAAUUUUUUGACAAUAUUUGUGUUUAAAGGUUACUUUACCCUCUUGCCAUCAUGUUUCUAAACUCCAGCAUACAUUCAAGAUUAAAAAAUAUCUGUUCAUCCACUAAUGUCUUCCUCUGGUUUUUGCCUUGCACAAGCCUUUUUUUAAUACAAAAUCUCUAAGCACAGCUGUAUUGUUUUUUGCCUCAAUGACCAGUUUAGACCUGCCUCUGCCCUUCUAAAACUUGUGACGUUUGUCUUUUUAUGGCCGAAGCCACGUAGUUUCAUUUGGUGGUGCAUCUUGGAUGCCGACCAUAAAUGACAAACAAAGAAUCUGAUUUUGAAAGUUAUUUCAGGAUCAUGGUGCACCUCGUCUUACAUCAACUUUUCUUAUGCAAAUGAAUGUUUUCCAAAGUGCUUCAGAACUUCAGUGUCAUGUGCAAUAAAGGCUUCAAACGGCAGCAAAUGUAGUUAGCAAUUUACUAAAUGACAAAAAACUACUAAAUUGAAAGUCCCCCCCCC